rnacentral:rRNA from 1 species
CGCCUCUUGUCCUACCUAAAAUAAGAGGUCCUGCCUGCCCCGUGACCCUGUGUUUAACGGCCGCGGUAUUUUAACCGUGCAAAGGUAGCGCAAUCACUUGUUCUUUAAAUGAGGACCUGUAUGAACGGCAAGACGAGGGCUAGACUGUCUCUUUUUUCCAGUCAAUGAAAUUGAUCUUCCCGUGCAGAAGCGGGAAUAACUACAUAAGACGAGAAGACCCUGUGGAGCUUUAGACGACAGAGAUAGACCUUGUCCAAACCCCUUACUUAAAGGCCGAACCAAAAGGGCCCUUCUCUCAUGUCUUUGGUUGGGGCGACCGCGGGGAAAAAAAUAACCCCCAUGUGGACCUAAAAAACAAACUUUUUAAGACCUAAGAGCAACCACUCAAACCCCCAGAACUUCUGACCAAAAGAUCCGGCUAAGCCGAUCAACGAACCAAGUUACCCCAGGGAUAACAGCGCAAUCCUCUUCCAGAGGCCAUAUCGACAAGAGGGUUUACGACCUCGAUGUUGGAUCAGGACAUCCUAAUGGUGCAGCCGCUAUUAAGGGUUCGUUUGUUCAACGAUUAAAGUCCU